ensembl:lncRNA
CACUACCUCAGUGAUUCCCAAGCUUCCCUUGUCUACAGGCGUCCUUCAUGACUGCAUGUUUGGAAUUCUAGUCCCAGGGUACUUCAUCCCACUGAAUCUGUAUUGCACUGUGACCUGCUUUGACUAGGAAGAAAUGAUGCAGAUCUAGUCCUUAUCUGUGUCUACAGAAAUCCUGGCAUCUUUUAUUUUGUGUCUGAGAAGGCCAUUACCAUCGAAGAAGUUCUGCUACCUUCGGAUCAUUAUGCAAGGAGAAGCCAACGCCAGCCACGCAGAGUUCGUGUGGACAAAGACGGUGGCCCUCAGCCAGCAGAGCUGGGUAGUCACAGCUGUCAGCUAGCACUAAACUCCAGCCACGGGAGUGGGGUCAUCUUAAAAGUGGAUCCUAUUGCCUCACUCAAGCCUCCUCUGGGGAUGCCACAUGGAACCCGAUAAAAUGUGUGCUGGAUUGCUGGUGUGUCAAAACAAACAGAUACAAAAUAGGAGACUCACAUUUAUUCUCUAAUAUAGAGGCCGGAUGUCUGAAACCGAGGUCUUAUGGGUCAGUGCCAGCAUCCCUUCGAAGGCUCUAGCAGGACAAUGACCUUGUAGCUUCCAAUUCCUCACAGCCCCAUCUACUCCCUUGGCUUCGGGGAGCAAGCUCCAAUCUUUGUCUCCAUUUUUUACACGGCUCUUUUCCCUCUAGCUGUGGCCCAAACUUCUUCCUACAAGGAUGCUGGUCAUUGGACCAGGGCCCACCAUAAUGACUUCAUCAGAACAUUAUUACAUCUACAAAGACCUUAUUUCCAAAUAAAGUCACACUUACCAAUCCCGAG